GACGUAGGAUGCAAGCGUUGUCCGGAAUUAUUGGGCGUAAAGAGUUCGUAGGCGGUUGCCUAAGUCUGAUGUUAAAUACUGGAGCUCAACUCCGGCAUGGCAUUGGAAACUGGGCAGCUAGAGUGUGGUAGAGGUCAUGGGAAUUCCAGGUGUAGCGGUGAAAUGCGUAGAUAUCUGGAGGAACACCGGUGGCGAAAGCGCGUGACUGGGCCAUAACUGACGCUGAGGAACGAAAGCCAGGGGAGCGAACGGG
rnacentral:rRNA from 1 species